rnacentral:tRNA from 1 species
UUCAGCCAAGUGGAUAAGGCGAUGGCGUUUGAAGCGAACGGUAAUGGGUUCGAGUCCCAGGGUGAA